rnacentral:rRNA from 1 species
AGUGAGCGCUGGCGGUAGGCCUAACACAUGCAAGUCGAACGGCAGCACAGGAGAGCUUGCUCUCUGGGUGGCGAGUGGCGGACGGGUGAGGAAUACAUCGGAAUCUACUCUGUCGUGGGGGAUAACGUAGGGAAACUUACGCUAAUACCGCAUACGACCUACGGGUGAAAGCAGGGGACCUUCGGGCCUUGCGCGAUUGAAUGAGCCGAUGUCGGAUUAGCUGGUUGGCGGGGUAAAGGCCCACCAAGGCGACGAUCCGUAGCUGGUCUGAGAGGAUGAUCAGCCACACUGGAACUGGGACACGGUCCAGACUCCGACGGGAGUAAGCAUUGGGGAAUAUUGGACAAUGGGCGCAAGCCUGAUCCAGCCAUACCGCGUGGGUGAAGAAGGCCUUCGGGUUGUAAAGCCCUUUUGUUGGGAAAGAAAUCCAGCUGGCUAAUACCCGGUUGGGAUGACGGUACCCAAAGAAUAAGCACCGGCUAACUUCGUGCCAGCCGCCGCCGUAA